ACAAGCGGUGGAUGAUGUGGAUUAAUUCGUUUGCUACACGAAGACUUACCUGGGUUUGACAUAUAGGUUGUAGGGAACUGAAAGGGACCGACCUUCGGGAGCCUAUACAGGUGUUGCAUGGCUGUCGUCAGCUCGUGUCGUGAGAUGUUCGGUUAAGUCCGCUAACGAGCGCAACCCUCGUCGUAUGUUAUAUGUGUCAUACGAGACUGCCGGUAAAAAGCCGGAGGAAGGUGAGGAUGAUGUCAAGUCAGCAUGACCUUUAUAUCCAGGGCUACACACACGCUACAAUGGUCUGUACAAUGGGUAGCCAAGCCGCGAGGCGGAGCCAAUCCUGAAAGCAGGCCUCAGUUCAGAUUGCAGUCUGCAACUCGACUGCAUGAAGCCGGAGUUGCUAGUAACCGCAGGUCAGCAAUGCUGCGGUGAAUACGUUCCCGGGUCUU
rnacentral:rRNA from 1 species